CAGCCGCCACGGUAAUACAGAGGGUGCGAGCGUUAAUCGGAUUUACUGGGCGUAAAGCGUGCGUAGGCGGCUUCUUAAGUCGGAUGUGAAAUCCCUGAGCUUAACUUAGGAAUUGCAUUCGAUACUGGGAAGCUAGAGUAUGGGAGAGGAUGGUAGAAUUCCAGGUGUAGCGGUGAAAUGCGUAGAGAUCUGGAGGAAUACCGAUGGCGAAGGCAGCCAUCUGGCCUAAUACUGACGCUGAGGUACGAAAGCAUGGGGAGCAAACAGGAUUAGAUACCCCAGUAGUCCUGUCUCUUAUACA
rnacentral:rRNA from 1 species